GGACUACACGGGUUUCUAAUCCCGUUUGCUCCCCUGGCUUUCGCGCCUCAGCGUCAGUAGAGAUCCAGGAGCUCGCUUUCGCCACCGGAGUUCCUUCCAAUAUCAACGCAUUUCACCGCUCCACUGGAAGUUCCAGCUCCCCCUAUCUCCCUCCAGUUGACCAGUAUCCCAGGCACUUUUCCGGUUAAGCCGAAAGAUUUCACCCCAGACUUGAUCAACCGCCUACGCGCCCUUUAAGCCCAGUGAUUCCGAACAACGUUCGCACGGUUCGUCUUACCGCGGCGGCUGGCAC
rnacentral:rRNA from 1 species